rnacentral:rRNA from 1 species
CUCAGUAACGGCGAGUGAAGCGGUAACAGCUCAAAUUUGAAAUCUGGCUCCUGCGGAGUCCGAGUUGUAAUUUGUAGAAGAUGCUUUGGGAGGUAGGCUCGGCCUAAGUUCCUUGGAACAGGACAUCAGAGAGGGUGAGAAUCCCGUAUGUGGCCGUGGCCUACGCCCGUGUAAAGCUCUUUCGACGAGUCGAGUUGUUUGGGAAUGCAGCUCAAAAUGGGUGGUAAAUUUCAUCUAAAGCUAAAUAUUGGCCAGAGACCGAUAGCGCACAAGUAGAGUGAUCGAAAGAUGAAAAGCACUUUGGAAAGAGAGUUAAACAGUACGUGAAAUUGUUGAAAGGGAAGCGCUUGCACCCAGACUUGGGCGUCGUCGAUCAUCCGAGGUUCUCCUCGGUGCACUCGGCGAGGCACAGGCCAGCAUCGGUUUGGAUGGUUGGAGAAAGGCUCUAGGAACGUAGCUCUCUUCGGGGAGUGUUAUAGCCUAGGGCGUAAUGCAGCCCAUCUGGACCGAGGACCGCGCCUUCGGGCUAGGAUGCUGGCGUAAUGGUUGCAAGCGACC